UACGUAGGGUGCGAGCGUUGUCCGGAAUUAUUGGGCGUAAAGAGCUUGUAGGCGGUUUGUCGCGUCUGCUGUGAAAUCUCAAGGCUCAACCUUGAGCUUGCAGUGGGUACGGGGCAGACUAGAGUGUGGUAGGGGAGACUGGAAUUCCUGGUGUAGCGGUGAAAUGCGCAGAUAUCAGGAGGAACACCGAUGGCGGAAGGCAGGUCUCUGGGCCACU
rnacentral:rRNA from 1 species